GACGAACGCUGGCGGAGGGAGGAACACAGGCAAGUCGAACGGAAAGGCCCUGCUUGCAGGGUACUCGAGUGGCGAACGGGUGAGUAACACGUGGGUGAUCUGCCCGGCACUUCGGGAUAAGCCUGGGAAACUGGGUCUAAUACCGGAUAGGAGCCAGUUUUAGUGUGAUGGUUGGAAAGUUUUUUCGGUGUAGGAUGAGCUCGCGGCCUAUCAGCUUGUUGGUGGGGUAAUGGCCUACCAAGGCGGCGACGGGUAGCCGGCCUGAGAGGGUGGACGGCCACAUUGGGACUGAGAUACGGCCCAGACUCCUACGGGAGGCAGCAGUGGGGAAUAUUGUACAAUGGGCGCAAGCCUGAUGCAGCGACGCCGCGUGGGGGAUGACGGCCUUCGGGUUGUAAACUCCUUUCGCUAGGGACGAAGCUUUUGUGACGGUACCUAGAGAAGAAGCACCGGCUAACUACGUG
rnacentral:rRNA from 1 species